rnacentral:rRNA from 1 species
UACAGAGGUCUCAAGCGUUGUUCGGAUUCAUUGGGCGUAAAGGGGUGCGUAGGUGGCGCGCUAAGUCAGGUGUGAAAUUUCGGAGCUUAACUCCGAAACUGCAUUCGAUACUGCCGUGCUUGAGGACUGGAGAGGAGACUGGAAUUUACGGUGUAGCGGUGAAAUGCGUAGAUAUCGUAAGGAAGACCAGUGGCGAAGGCGGGUCUCUGGACAGUUCCUGACGCUGAGGCACGAAGGUCAGGGAGCAAACGGGG